AGCUCCAGUAGCGUAUAUUAAAUUUGUUGCGGUUAAAAAGCUCGUAGUUGGAUUUGAGCCACAAGGUUUUUCCCGCGUUGCAUAUCGCUUCGUGUGCGAAAUACGCCUAGUGGUUUUUGUAGCCUUGGAAUUUAUUCCUUUUGGUUACUAAUUACUUUGAGUAAAUUAGAGCGUCUCAAGCAGGUUUAAGCCAUGAAUACGACAGCAUGGAAUAAUACUAUAAGACUAAUCUCUUAUUUGUUGGUUUAAGGGGAUUAGUAAUGGUUAAUAGGGACAGUCGGGGGCAUUCGUACUUAACUGUCAGAGGUGAAAUUCUUGGAUUUGUUAAAGACGAGCUGACGCGAAAGCAUUUGCCAAGGAUGUUUUCA
rnacentral:rRNA from 1 species